rnacentral:rRNA from 1 species
GACGAACGCUGGCGGCGGGCUUAACACAUGCAAGUCGAACGGAAAGGCCCUGCUUUUGUGGGGUGCUCGAGUGGCGAACGGGUGAGUAACACGUGAGUAACCUGCCCUUGACUUUGGGAUAACUUCAGGAAACUGGGGCUAAUACCGGAUAGGAGCUCCUGCUGCAUGGUGGGGGUGGGAAAGUUUCGGCGGGUGGGGAUGGACGCGCGGCUGAUCAGCUUGUUGGUGGGGUAGUGGCUUACCAAGGCUUUGAAGGGUAGCCGGCCUGAGAGGGUGGACGGGGACAUUGGGACUGAGGGACGGCCCAGACUGGUACGGGAGGCAGCAGUGGGGAAUAUUGCACAAUGGGAGGACGCCUGAUGCAGAAACGCCGCGUGUGGGAUGACGGCCUUCGGGUUGUAAAACGCUUUCGCCUGUGACGAAGCGGGAGUGACGGUACUGGGUAAAGAAGCACCGGCUAACUACGUG